rnacentral:tRNA from 1 species
GUCCUUAUCGUCUAGUGGUUAGGACUUUACCCUUUCACGGUAAAAACACGAGUUCAAAUCUCGUUAAGGAUA